GGGGCCUAGGGGACCGAGGGUGGGCAGCUCAGAGCAGCUGCUGGGCUCCCAGGUCCACCAGGUGUCUUCAUGCCUGCUAAGGGUAGCCUCAGAGGCCCAGCCAGGUGCUGCAUUGGCAUCUAGGUUACCUGACCUCUUCUGGCAGUCACGGGCCUCUGUACUUGAUUUGUUCCUAGAAAUUCAUCAUAGCGUCCCCUCUACAGCAGAUUUUUCCCAUUCCCUUCAUUUUUAAGUUCUCCCUUUCUAAGAGAUCUUCUGAUACAUAACUGUGAUACACAAAUACUUCCUAAAGUAAUUAAAGAUAGGAGCAGUGCCACAGACCCAGGGCCCAGAAUGAAAACUACAGAGAGGCCAAUCUACCUAUGAUCCACGUGCAGCUUGGAGAUUCAAAGAAGAAAGACAGAGAAAAAGACCAUAUCAAGACAGACUCUUCUUGAAGUUAACACAACCACAACUCAAAGAAUACCUGAAGCCACCAGAAGACAGAAGACGCAAAGAAGGAAUCUUCCCCAGACCCUUCAAAGGGAGUAUACUCCUGCCUUGAAAUAGACUUCUGGUCUCCACUCCUGCACCUCCACCAACCCCACAACCACCCAAGUGAGAGCAAAGAACCUGAUCUUUAGAGAAAUUGUUCAUCUCCAUGGAUUAUUCAUCCCAUUUGCCUCCAACCUUCCAUGCCAAUGAUUGUCUCCACUUGACAAGGCACCAUUCACAAGAAUCCAUGCAAUCAUCCUCCUGCUAGUGUCCAAACACACUCAAGACAAAGGAGUCCUUUUAAUACACCUCUCCAAACACCAUGGUUCUUCCACCUGCGCAGCCUC